GCGGGAAUGGCUUCGGGUUCGACAAUACAACAUUUAGAUUGUAACGUUUUUUUUUUGGUGUCUGUUUUUUUGUGAAAGAUCCAGUUAAAGGAGCUGUGGUGAUAAAAUUUUCCAACACAAAAGAAAAAGACAUGGAAGCAGUAAUCAAAGACUGGCUGAAGUCUUCAAAAAUUCGGUUUACCGGCAAAGAGGAAUCUAAAAAUGUACAAACACCGGAUCCUGGAGGAAAAUCUGAAUGCUUCAAAAAUUGUGAUUGAAAUGAGGUGCAGUAACAUAAACCGGUAUGUAGCUCAAAAAUUGCUACUUCAAACAGGAAGAGAAUAGAGUAAUCUGGAGCACCACAAUAAGGACCUUUCUUCAUAGAUAAAUGACAUUCAUAUGAGUUAUUUUAAUAAACAACUUUUCAAAUUAUGUAUGUCUUAACUA